AUUGAACGCUGGCGGCAGGCCUAACACAUGCAAGUCGAGCGAGCGGCGGACGGGUGAGUAAUGUCUGGGAAAAUGCCUGAUGGAGGGGGAUAACUACUGGAAACGGUAGCUAAUACCGCAUAACAUCAGAUGAGCCCAGAUGGGAUUAGCUAGUAGUUGGGGUAAUGGCUCACCUAGGCGACGAUCCUUAGCUGGUCUGAGAGGAUGACCGGCCACACUGGAACUGAUACACGGUCCAGCCUCCUACGGGAGGCAGCAGUGGGGAAUAUUGCACAAUGGGCGCAAGCCUGAUGCAGCCAUGCCGCGUGUGUGAAGAAGGCCUUCGGGUUUUAAAGCACUUUCAGCGGGGAGGCGUUACUCGCAGAAGAAGCACCGGCUAACUCCGUGCCAGCAGCCGCGGUAAUUC
rnacentral:rRNA from 1 species